AGUCGAUGGAAAACAGGUUAAUAUUCCUGUACUUCUGGUUAUUGCGAUGGAGGGACGGAGAAGGCUAGGCAAGCUUGGCGUUGGUUGUCCAAGUGAAAGCGAGUAGGCCGAGAAUUUAGGUAAAUCCGGAUUCUUAAAGCUGAGACGCGAGACGAGCUCCCAAGGGAGUGAAGUUGUUGAUGCCCUGCUUCCAGGAAAAGCUUCUAAACUUAUGAUUAUAUGAACCGUACCCCAAACCGACACAGGUGGUCAGGUAGAGAAUACUAAGGCGCUUGAGAGAACUCGGGUGAAGGAACUAGGCAAAAU
rnacentral:rRNA from 1 species